AAUUUAAACCUCUUCCAGAGUAUCAAUUGGAGGGCAAGUCUGGAGCCAGCAGCCGCGGUAAUUCCAGCUCCAAUAGCGUAUAUUAAAAUUGUUGCAGUUAAAAAGCUCGUAGUUGAAUUUCUGCUGCAUUGCUUUUGCUCCUUUACGAGUCUUUGCAUUGUGGCUUAUUUCGGACUUUGUUUUACAAUGUCCGGAUGUUUACUUUGAGAAAAUUAGAGUGCUCAAAGCAGGCUUUCGCCUUGAAUAGUUUAGCAUGGAAUAAUAAAGUAGGACUUUGGUUCUAUUUUGUUGGUUUUAGGUACCAAAGUAAUGGUUAAUAGGAACAGUUGGGGGCAUUCGUAUUUAACUGUCCGAGGUGAAAUUCUUAGA
rnacentral:rRNA from 1 species